rnacentral:rRNA from 1 species
GCUCUCUUCGGAGGGAGCGGCGGACGGGUGAGUAACGCGUGGGAACGUGCCCUUCUCUACGGAAUAGCCACUGGAAACGGUGAGUAAUACCGUAUACGCCCUUCGGGGAAAGAUUUAUCGGAGAAGGAUCGGCCCGCGUUAGAUUAGAUAGUUGGUGGGGUAACGGCCUACCAAGUCUACGAUCUAUAGCUGGUUUUAGAGGACGAUCAGCCACACUGGGACUGAGACACGGCCCAGACUCCUACGGGAGGCAGCAGUGGGGAAUCUUAGACAAUGGGCGGAAGCCUGAUCUAGCCAUGCCGCGUGAGUGAUGAAGGCCUAGGGUCGUAAAGCUCUUUCGCCAGGGAUGAUAAUGACAGUACCUGGUAAAGAAACCCCGGCUAACUCCGUGCCAGCAGCCUCGGUAAUACGGAGGGGGUUAGCGUUGUUCGGAAUUACUGGGCGUAAAGCGCGCGUAGGCGGA